rnacentral:rRNA from 1 species
UUGAACUGAAGAGUUUGAUCCUGGCUCAGAUUGAACGCUGGCGGCAUGCCUUACACAUGCAAGUCGAACGGCAGCGCGGGGGCAACCCUG